rnacentral:rRNA from 1 species
GUGCCAGCAGCCGCGGUAAUACGUAGGGGGCAAGCGUUGUCCGGAAUGAUUGGGCGUAAAGGGCGCGUAGGCGGCUCGGUAAGUCUGGAGUGAAAUUCCUGCUUUCAAGGUGGGAACUGCUUUGGAUACUGUCGGGCUUGAGUGCAGGAGAGGUAAGUGGAAUUCCCGGUGUAGCGGUGAAAUGCGUAGAGAUCGGGAGGAACACCAGUGGCGAAGGCGACUUACUGGACUGUAACUGACGCUGAGGCGCGAAAGUGUGGGGAGCAAACAGGAUUAGAUACCCUGGUAGUCCACACUGUAAACGAUGAAUGCUAGGUGUAGGGGGUAUCGACCCCUUCUGUGCCGGAGUCAACACAAUAAGCAUUCCGCCUGGGGAGUACGGCCGCAAGGUUGAAACUCAAAGGAAUUGACGGGGGCCCGCACAAGCAGCGGAGCAUGUGGUUUAAUUCGAAGCAACGCGAAGAACCUUACCAGGUCUUGACAUCCAGUAAAACUUGUAGAGAUAUAAGGUGUGCUUGCACAUACUGAGACAGGUGGUGCAUGGGUUGUCGUCAGCUCGUGUCGUGAGAUGUUGGGUU